rnacentral:rRNA from 1 species
UACGUAGGGACCAAGCGUUGUUCGGAUUUACUGGGCGUAAAGGGCGCGUAGGCGGCAAUUCAAGUCACUUGUGAAAUCUCCGAGCUUAACUCGGAACGGUCAAGUGAUACUGCUUUGCUAGAGUGCAGAAGGGGCAACCGGAAUUCUUGGUGUAGCGGUGAAAUGCGUAGAUAUCAAGAGGAACACCGGAGGUGAAGACGGGUUGCUGGGCUGACACUGACGCUGGAGGAGCGAAAAGCGUGGGGAGCGAACAGGG